GACGAACGCUGGCGGCGUGCUUAACACAUGCAAGUGGAGCGACGAACCAGGCUUCGGCCUGGGGCAGAGCCGCGAACGGGUGAGUAACACGUGGGUAACCUGCCCUGAUGAUUGGGACAACCCGAGGAAACUCGGGCUAAUACCAAAUGUGCCCUCCGGCCGUAAGGCCUCUGGGGAAAGGAAGCUUCGGCCUCCGCAUCGGGAUGGGCCCGCGGCCCAUUAGCUUGUUGGUGAGGUAACGGCUCACCAAGGCUACGAU
rnacentral:rRNA from 1 species